rnacentral:rRNA from 1 species
ACUGCUCAGUAACACGUAGUCAACAUGCCCAGGGGACGUGGAUAACCUCGGGAAACUGAGGAUAAACCGCGAUAGGCCAAGAUUUCUGGAAUGGAUCAUGGCUUAAAUCUAUAUGGCCCCUGGAUUGGACUGCGGCCGAUCAGGCUGUUGGUGGGGUAAUGGCCCACCAAACCUGUAACCGGUACGGGCUCUGAGAGGAGGAGCCCGGAGAUGGGCACUUAGACAAGGGCCCAGGCCCUAUGGGGCGCAGCAGGCGCGAAACCUCUGCAAUAAGCGAAAGCUUGACAGGGUUACUCUGAGUGAUUUCCGCUAAGGAAGUCUUUUGACACCUCUAAAAAUGGUGCAGAAUAAGGGGUGGGCAAGUCUGGUGUCAGCCGCCGCGGUAAUACCAGCACCCCGAGUGGUCGGGACGAUUAUUGGGCCUAAAGCAUCCGUAGCCGGUCCUGCAAGUCCUCCGUUAAAUCCACCCGCUCAACGGUUGGGCCGCGGGGGAUACUACAGGGCUAGGAGGCGGGAGAGGCAAGCGGUACUUGAUGGGUAGGGGUAAAAUCCACUGAUCCAUUGAAGACCACCAGUGGCGAAGGCGGCUUGCCAGAACGCGCUCGACGGUGAGGGAUGAAAGCUGGGGGAGCAAACCGGAUUAGAUACCCGGGUAGUCCCAGCUGUAAACGAUGCAGACUCGGUGAUGGGCUGGCUUCGUGCCUACCCGGUGCCGCAGGGAAGCCAUUAAGUCUGCCGCCUGGGGAGUACGGCCGCAAGGCUGAAACUUAAAGGAAUUGGCGGGGGAGCAC